UACGUAGGGUGCGAGCGUUGUCCGGAAUUAUUGGGCGUAAAGAGCUCGUAGGCGGUUUGUCGCGUCUGCUGUGAAAACUGGAGGCUCAACCUCCAGCCUGCAGUGGGUACGGGGCAAACUAGAGUGCGGUAGGGGAGAUUGGAAUUCCUGGUGUAGCGGUGGAAUGCGCAGAUAUCAGGAGGAACACCGAUGGCGAAGGCAGAUCUCUGGGCCGUAACUGACGCUGAGACGCGAAAGCGUGGGGAGCAAACAGG
rnacentral:rRNA from 1 species